CGCGGGAUGGAGCAGCCCGGUAGCUCGUCAGGCUCAUAACCUGAAGGUCAUAGGUUCAAAUCCUAUCCCCGCAA
rnacentral:tRNA from 1 species